GAGUAAUGUCUGGGAAACUGCCUGAUGGAGGGGGAUAACUACUGGAAACGGUAGCUAAUACCGCAUAACGUCGCAAGACCAAAGAGGGGGACCUUCGGGCCUCUUGCCAUCGGAUGUGCCCAGAUGGGAUUAGCUAGUAGGUGGGGUAACGGCUCACCUAGGCGACGAUCCCUAGCUGGUCUGAGAGGAUGACCAGCCACACUGGAACUGAGACACGGUCCAGACUCCUACGGGAGGCAGCAGUGGGGAAUAUUGCACAAUGGGCGCAAGCCUGAUGCAGCCAUGCCGCGUGUAUGAAGAAGGCCUUCGGGUUGUAAAGUACUUUCAGCGGGGAGGAA
rnacentral:rRNA from 1 species